rnacentral:lncRNA from 1 species
CAAGCUCAGCUUUAGCAAUAGCUAUUAGAGAAACCGACUAGGGAGGGGCCCUGAAAUGAGGUGGAACUGAGGAACGAUGAGCCUAUAAAGGAGAUUUGAGAGAAACGAGAUGGAGCGUGAAGAGGAGUUUCAGGAAGGAGAAAACCGAAAAGAGCCUUCGGGAGAGGGAGAGGAGUGGCAAGGACGGGGGUGAUUAAGGAGCAGCUAAGAAGUUUGUUGGUGUGAAAUGAAAUUAAUUGAAUUGUGGAACUGAGUCCAAGCCCAGAACUGAAUCCAAGCCCAAGCCCAAGCCCAAGCCUAAGCCUAAGGCAAAGCCCAAAGCAAAGCAAAUCCCAAGCCUAAACCCGUAGUCAAGCCCAAGGUCGAACCCAAGCCCAAGUAGAAGCCCAAGUUCAACCCAAGCUCAAUGUUGAACCCAAGCCCAAGAACAAGUCCAAGCCCAAGCCCAAGGCCGAACCCAAGCCCAAAGCGGAAGCUAUGCCCAAUGUCCACGUGCAAGUUCAAGCUCAAGCCCAAUAUCUAAUCCCAAAGUCGAGCACCAUCCCAAGCACAAGCCCGUGCCCAAGGCCACGCCCGAACCGGGGUCGAACCCGCGCCCAAGCUUAAGCCCAAGUCCUAGCCGAAGCCCAACUUCGAACCCAAGCACAAGUCCAAAACAAGUCAAAGCCUAAACCCAAAUGCCCAAGCCCAAUCUUAAUCCCUAAGUCUAAGCCCAUGCGCAAGUCGAAGCCUACAUCCAAGCCCAAGCCCUGACCCAAUGCCUAGUCCAAGCUCAGGAUUGACCCCAAGACUAAGUCCAAGACCUGCCCAACUACUGGGCCGAAGCUUAAAAACGGCGCCAUUCUGAAACGAAGAUACCGUCUUCAUCUGUUCGAAAGACGCAAAGAACAAGAGAGACGCAAGCAGAGGGAGAGGCAGACUUUUUUGUGUUGAGGAAGAAGAGAAAGUAGACAGCUUUGUGGGAUGGAAUCAGAGCAAGGACGACCAUGUACGACCAUGCGCAACGUGCAAGCUCAGCUUUAGCAAUAGCUAUUGGAGAAACCGACUAGGGAGAGGCCCUGAAAUGAGGUAGAACUGAGGAACGAUGAGGCUAUAAAGGAGAUUUGAGAGAAACGAGAUGGAGCACGAAGAGGAGUUUCAGGAAAGAGAAAGCCGAAAAGAGCCUUCGGGAGAGGGAGAGGAGCGGCAAAGACGGGAGAUUAAGGAGCAAGUAAGAAGUUUGUUUAAAUGAAAUGAAUUGUGGCUAUAUUUGUUAUAAUGGUAAAAUUGAAUAAUCUUUAUGAUGUAUAGGAACUUGGCUAUGUACUGCGUACAUGCUAAAUUUGAAAGUGAUAUUCGUUCUUGAGAUCAUUCGAGCAAAAAAACUCACAUCCAUAUUAUAUGACUGUAUAGUAGUUAAUUUAUUCAAACCUGGUUUCACAAUAUGCAUCUCCUUGUCUGGAUCAGAGGCCUGAAUUUUGCUAAUCAUGCCACGGGAUUUUGCUAGACUAUCAACUGCUCCAUUUUAUGUGUUGAAUUGUUUGCCCAGUUAUUGAGGAUCAAGAGAAUAGAAAAGUUGAUGAAUGUAUAUGAGGAAAUUGUGAUAGAUGAAUUGGGAAUGUAUAUGCCCUAUGAAACCUUGAGCAAACAGAAUGAAAUGUAGGCACUAAUUAGAGAAAUGUUUAUGUUAAGGUUUAUCAACGGUGCAAUGUACCAGAGAAGGAAGAAGACAGAUUGCUGUCUCUUUUGAUAUAUUAGGCAUGAAGAAUUUAAUGAAAGUGUUGAGUAGUUUCUUACUCAAGAGACCAUGGAGUUUUCUCUUAAUGAGCCCUUUAAUUAGAUUCAAGAUACUAGAAAGAAAAAGAACUCCAUUUUCUACUGCUUUCAAUCAACCCAUAAUUAGAUUCAUCAGUCGCGACCCUAAUAGUUUAUGUACCGAUUCAUGAUGUAAUUGAUCUGGAUUUCCCAUAAAUGUCUGAAAAGAAAAUCAAUGGCUUGAUUUUCUUUUAUAUAUCAUGCACCUGUGCCCUUUUUUAUGUGUUGGGCUGUUGGGAACUGUGUUUUAUGUGAACAAGAGAUUUAGACAUGUCCUAGGGAAGAAUGAGAAGACUGCUAAUUUAUUUUUGUUUUGUUCUCUGUUUCCAUUUAUGUAUGUAACUUCAACAUUCCUAAAUAUGGUUUGUAAAAAGAUUUAAGAUUUACUUAAUAUAUUUCAUGACAGAUAUUAUACUCACAUUUGCACAGUAGUUAAGACAUAAGCAAAAUCCAGAUUAUGCCUUAAUUAACUAGUCUAGAUCACAAGGUGAGUGCUUUAUCUUUUGUUACCUUUUACUACUUUAAACCUAAAUUUUUAUAUUACUAAUCGCUGCAUAUGUGGUGAUUGAUCCCACACUUGAUAAGAUUACUUCUGACUCAUUAUUUUGUGAACUUAAAUAUUUAGAUUAGAUUUCAUGGAGAAUCACUAGUCCACUGUGACAAUUUCAAGUUUUAAAGUUAAGAUAUAUGAAGAAAACCUUUGGUUAUCCUUUCAAGUAAUUAGAAAUCUGUUAAAACAAGAACCUGAGAUUUGUUAUCUUCUUUUCUUUUCUCCUCUUUUAGUCCUUAGUGUUGUUUUCCUCUACUAACAUCUUGGAUAAUCACGAUACCAAAGCACUGAUGUAGAAGAAAAGUAAAANNNN